UUCUUCGGGGCAGGGUGCUGCCAGAUGUUUUGGCAAAUUCCCGACCGACGGUGAUUCUGAUGUUUUCAGAAAAGUCCGUGAACUGCGAUAGCAGCCGAUCCGGUGAGAUUCCGGAACCGACAGUAUAGUCUGGAUGAGAGAAGGA
rnacentral:ncRNA from 1 species